UACAGAGGUCUCAAGCGUUGUUCGGAUUCAUUGGGCGUAAAGGGUGCGUAGGCGGCGCGGUAAGUCGGGUGUGAAAUCUCGGGGCUUAACUCCGAAACUGCAUUCGAUACUGCUGUGCUUGAGGACUGGAGAGGAGACUGGAAUUUACGGUGUAGCGGUGAAAUGCGUAGAUAUCGUAAGGAAGACCAGUGGCGAGGGCGGGUCUCUGGACAGUUCCUGACGCUGAGGCACGAAGGCCAGGGGAGCAAACGGG
rnacentral:rRNA from 1 species